GCUCCUGUGGCGCAAUUGGUUAGCGCGUCUGACUGUUAAUCAGGAGGUUGGCAGUUCGAUCCUGCCCGGGAGCG